rnacentral:rRNA from 1 species
AAUAUUGCACAAUGGGGGAAACCCUGAUGCAGCAACGCCGCGUGAGCGAUGAAGGNUUNNGGGUCNUNAAGCUCUGUCCUAAGNNNNNAAGAAUGACGGUACCUUAGGAGGAAGCCCCGGCUAACUACGUGCCAGCAGCCGCGGUAAUACGUAGGGGGCAAGCGUUAUCCGGAAUCACUGGGCGUAAAGGGGGCGUAGGCGGCCGAUAAAGGCUGGGGUGAAAGGCUACGGCUUAACCGUAGUAAGCCUUGGAAACUUAUUGGCUUGAGUGCAGGAGAGGUAAGUGGAAUUCCUAGUGUAGCGGUGAAAUGCGUAGAUAUUAGGAGGAACACCAGUGGCGAAGGCGACUUACUGGACUGUAACUGACGCUGAGGCACGAAAGCGUGGGGAGCGAACAGG